rnacentral:tRNA from 1 species
CCCUCGUUAGUAUAGUGGAUAGUAUCUCCCGCCUGUCACGCGGAAGACCGGGUUUGACUCGGACGGGGAG